rnacentral:sRNA from 1 species
CUGACCAUUGUGUCCAAACUCAAAUUCUAAUUUAUACACAGAACAGAUACAGUUCUAACUUCUCCACAUGGCCCCAUCAACAGACCUCAGGCCCGUGCUGGAGGGACCAUCUCUGCGGGUGUGAGAAUAGUUCAGUUCUCAUGCCCAUUCAAUCAGUGGCUGUU